rnacentral:rRNA from 1 species
AGCAAUCUAUACUGUGAAACUGCGAAUGGCUCUGACCCUGAUGGGCCAUUCCCGACCGAAUGGGCGCCCGCUCGCCCGUAACGUCACUAGAGUGUGGGGAUUGUGUGACGCCUAGCGCCUCGCAAACCCGCAGCCUGCGCUGGCAGGUUCAACGACUAGAUAGUGACGGUCCCUGAAGGGAUCAAGAUAUAGUCUCAGCGCCCGGCGAGAGCCCGGCGACAAGCUGCAUUAAAUCAGUUAUCGUUUAUUUGAUAGUACCUCACUACAUGGAUAACCGUGGUAAUUCUAGAGCUAAUACAUGCUAAAAACCUCGACUUCGGAAGGGGUGUAUUUAUUAGAUUAAAAACCAAUGCCCUUCGGGGCUCACUGGUGAUUCAUAAUAACUUAACGAAUCGCAUGGCCUUGUGCCGGCGAUGGUUCAUUCAAAUUUCUGCCCUAUCAACUUUCGAUGGUAGGAUAGUGGUACGUCCCCUUGCUCUAACCGCUCACAUUCUCUAUGCUAACACUCGUCUUACAGGCCUACCAUGGUUUCAACGGGUAACGGAGGAUUAGGGUUUGAUCCCGGAGAGGGAGCCUGAGAAACGUACGUGUAUCUUCUCGUCCGCACCCGCGACUCUGUACU